rnacentral:rRNA from 1 species
CCUACGGGAUGCAGCAGUGGGGAAUAUUGCACAAUGGGGGCAACCCUGAUGCAGCGACGCCGCGUGAGCGCUGAAGUAUUUAGGUAUGUAAAGCUCUAUCAGCAGGGAAGAAAAUGAAGUUACGUGACUACGACGCACCGGCUAACUACGUGCCAGAAGCCGCGGUACUACGUAGGGGGCCAGCGUUAUCCGGAUUUACUGGGUGUUAAGGGGGCGUAGACGGUUCUGAAAGUCAGAUGUGAAAGCCCGGGGCUCAACCCCGGGACUGCAUUUGAAACUGUAAGGCUAGAGUGUCGGAGGGGCAGGCGGAAUGCCUAGUGUAGCGGUGAAAUGCUUAGAGAUUAGGAGGAACACCAGUUGCGAAGGCGGCCUGCCGGACGAUGACUGACGUUGAGGCACGAAAGCGUGGGGAGCAAACAGGAUUAGAUACCCGAGUAGUC